rnacentral:rRNA from 1 species
UACGGAGGGGGCGAGCGUUGUCCGAAGUUACUGGGCGUAAAGCGCGCGUAGGCGGGUGGGUAAGUCCGCUGUGAAAGCCCGGAGCUUAACUCCGGAGGGUCGGUGGAUACUGCCCAUCUUGAAGGUGCUAGGGGGAGAUGGAAUUACCGGUGUAGCGGUGAAAUGCGUAGAGAUCGGUAGGAACACCAGUGGCGAAGGCGGUUCUCUGGGCCUGUGCUGACGCUGAGGAGCGAAAGCGUGGGGAGCGAACAGG